UCCUCGAUGGUCUAACGGUUAUGAUUUCCGCUUGUCAUUUGUUAACAAUUAACAAGCGCGGGAGACCAGGGUUCGACUCCCUGUCGGGGAG
rfam:Coccidioides immitis RMSCC 3703 supercont1.36 genomic scaffold, whole genome shotgun sequence.